rnacentral:lncRNA from 1 species
CUCUCCAAUAAAUAUGUAACAUAAUCACUGGGCAAUGCAGAUCUUCUUUCCCUUUGUGAUCUCCUAACUUGUGGCUCAGGAACCGAUUCAAUCGUUGUUUGAGGAAUUGGAGAUUCCUCUUGGUUCCUCGGUUCUUCAUUAACAACUUCAAUUGGUUGGGAACCAACUCUUUCCUGUAUGAUGGGAACUGGAACAACAACUUGAUUGGGUUCAACAAGAAUUUCUCUCAACGUGGAACUCCCACUGUCUCCAAAAUCGUUCUCCAGAAACUUAGCAGUAAUGGACUCCACAAUUCUAGUGCCGCGAUUUGGACAAUAAAACUUAUAUCCCUUUGAUCUAUCCGGAUACCCAAUAAAGUAGCCAGGAGUUAAUUUAGGGUCUAAUUUCUUUUCAAAUGGAUUAUAAAUCCUAAC